rnacentral:piRNA from 1 species
CAUUGUAGGAAGUGAAAGCGUAGA